UAAGUAAGUAAAUUAUUUAUUAUAGUGACAUGUGUAAAUUAUGUACAGAUUAUAAACAUAUAAUAUAUGACAAAUAGCAAUACACCCGGCCCAAUGGACCUAUAAGUCACCUCAAAUAAAGUAAAACAAUUAUUAAACAAUUAUAUCACGUUCUAAUCUUUUGUUGACGCAUGGAAGUAUUAUAUUGACAGGAACUCCAACGAAAAAUUAGCACAUUCCCAUCCCACUGAUUUCUUUAAGAAAAUAAAAGGUUCCGACUCAGUUUGUCAAGUACGUGAUAACUCCUUUGUGGGGUAUCUGCGAUGCCGCCUUCGCCUGUUCUUUUAACUGAAGCUGGUCUUAUCACGUGAUUUGAUAUCGAUUGUCUUAUCUACCUACCAAUUUAAAUUAACACGGAAACUCCCGUGGUUAUUUGUGAAUCGCCACAUGAAUAACAACACCUGUUUCCGUUCAAUAAAUGAAGAACAACGCUGAAAAGAUCGAAAAAAUCGGUCCAUAUUUAACAGAAUGACAUAAGAAAAUUAACUGCAUUCGGAAAGAGGGCAAGCUUAUUUUUAGUUUUUAACCGGAUUUUUGUGACAAAAAUGUCGGUUAUUGAUUUGGGGAUGUACGGCGGGCGGGCGGGCGGGCGGCAAUCAAAUGUUGUCCGUGCAUUAACUCAUGAACCGUUCAACCAAAGCUUUUAAAAUUUUAAUAUGUUAUUCCUGACAACUAUACGAAGGUCAAGUUCAAUAAUGGCGAUUUUGACUUUUACCGUUCAGGAGUUAUGGUUCUUGAAAGAUUGAAAAAUGGAGUUGUCCGUGCAUUUACGCAUGAACUGUUCUACCAAAGCUUCCCAAAUUUUAAUAUGUUGUUACUAAUGAAAGAAUGGAGG
rnacentral:lncRNA from 1 species